rfam:Anoxybacillus flavithermus WK1, complete genome.
UGGGCAGUAUCUUUGUAAGAACUGCACCACAUAUACGACAUAUUGAAGAUCAUUUCUGCCUUGAUCCGAUGAAACGGACGGGGACAGAGGG